rnacentral:rRNA from 1 species
GACGAACGCUGGCGGCGUGCCUAAUACAUGCAAGUCGAGCGAAGUUUUCCUGCUGCUUGCACCUGCAAUACUUAGCGGCGAAUGGGUGAGUCACACGUAAAGUACCUUCCUCAUAGACUGAGCCACCUAUUGGAAACGCUAGCUCAUCCUGGAUAACAGCACUAACUGCUUGGUUGAUGUUUAAUAGUUGGUUUUGCUAACGACUUGAGAUUGCUUUGCGGUGCAUUAGCUUGUUGGUGGGGUAAAGGCCUACCAAGGCGACGAUUGAUAGCCGACGUGAGAGGGUGAUCGGCUGCACGAGGACGGAGACACGGCCCUGGCUCCUGCGGUAGGCAGCAGUAGGGUAUCUUCCGCAAUGGUCGAAAGCCUUACGGAGCACCGCCGCGUGAGUUAAGGAGGAGUUCUGUUCGGGAUGCUCUGUUGUUGGGUAAGAAUGAUUGUGUAGUAACUAUACACGGUAGAGACGGUAACUAGCCAGAAAGCCACGGCUAACUACGUG